rnacentral:rRNA from 1 species
AGCGAACGCUGGCGGCAGGCUUAACACAUGCAAGUCGAGCGGGCACUUCGGUGUCAGCGGCAGACGGGUGAGUAACACGUGGGAACGUACCCUUUGGUUCGGAAUAACGCUGGGAAACUAGCGCUAAUACCGGAUACGCCCUUUUGGGGAAAGGCUUGCUGCCGAAGGAUCGGCCCGCGUCUGAUUAGCUAGUUGGUGGGGUAAUGGCCUACCAAGGCGACGAUCAGUAGCUGGUCUGAGAGGAUGAUCAGCCACACUGGGACUGAGACACGGCCCAGACUCCUACGGGAGGCAGCAGUGGGGAAUAUUGGACAAUGGGCGCAAGCCUGAUCCAGCCAUGCCGCGUGAGUGAUGAAGGCCUUAGGGUUGUAAAGCUCUUUUGUCCGGGACGAUAAUGACGGUACCGGAAGAAUAAGCCCCGGCUAACUUCGUGCCAGCCGCCGCCGUAACAC